rnacentral:rRNA from 1 species
GAGCGGCGGACGGGUGAGUAAUACUUAGGAAUCUACCUAGUAGUGGGGGAUAGCACGGGGAAACUCGUAUUAAUACCGCAUACGACCUACGGGAGAAAGGGGGCAGUUUACUGCUCUCGCUAUUAGAUGAGCCUAAGUCGGAUUAGCUAGAUGGUGGGGUAAAGGCCUACCAUGGCGACGAUCUGUAGCUGGUCUGAGAGGAUGAUCAGCCACACCGGGACUGAGACACGGCCCGGACUCCUACGGGAGGCAGCAGUGGGGAAUAUUGGACAAUGGGGGAAACCCUGAUCCAGCCAUGCCGCGUGUGUGAAGAAGGCCUUUUGGUUGUAAAGCACUUUAAGCAGUGAAGAAGACUCCGUGGUUAAUACCCACGGACGAUGACAUUAGCUGCAGAAUAAGCACCGGCUAACUCUGUGCCAGCAGCCGCGGUAAUACAGAGGGUGCAAGCGUUAAUCGGAAUUACUGGGCGUAAAGGGAGCGUAGGUGGCUCGAUAAGUCAGAUGUGAAAUCCCCGGGCUCAACCUGGGAACUGCAUCUGAUACUGUUGAGCUAGAGUAUGUGAGAGAAGGUAGAAUUCCAGGUGUAGCGGUGAAA